rnacentral:rRNA from 1 species
GUGAACGCUGGCGGUAGGCCUAACACCUGCAAGUCGAACGGCAGCACAGUAAGAGCUUGCUCUUACGGGUGGCGAGUGGCGGACGGGUGAGGAAUACAUCGGAAUCUACUUUUUCGUGGGGGAUAACGUAGGGAAACUUACGCUAAUACCGCAUACGACCUACGGGUGAAAGCAGGGGAUCUUCGGACCUUGCGCGAUUGAAUGAGCCGAUGUCGGAUUAGCUAGUUGGCGGGGUAAAGGCCCACCAAGGCGACGAUCCGUAGCUGGUCUGAGAGGAUGAUCAGCCACACUGGAACUGAGACACGGUCCAGACUCCUACGGGAGGCAGCAGUGGGGAAUAUUGGACAAUGGGCGCAAGCCUGAUCCAGCCAUACCGCGUGGGUGAAGAAGGCCUUCGGGUUGUAAGCCCUUUUGUUGGGAAAGAAAAGCAGCAGGUUAAUACCCCGCUGUUCUGACGGUACCCAAAGAAUAAGCACCGGCUAACUUCGUG